rfam:Dipodomys ordii contig_16077, whole genome shotgun sequence.
GGGGAUAUGGCUUAGUGGUAGAGUGCUUGCUUAGCAUGUAUGAAGCCCUAGGUUCGAUUCCUCAGUACCUCA